GAUGAACGCUGGCGGCGUGCCUAAUACAUGCAAGUCGAGCGAACAGACGAGGAGCUUGCUCCUCUGACGUUAGCGGCGGACGGGUGAGUAACACGUGGAUAACCUACCUAUAAGACUGGGAUAACUUCGGGAAACCGGAGCUAAUACCGGAUAAUAUAUUGAACCGCAUGGUUCAAUAGUGAAAGACGGUUUUGCUGUCACUUAUAGAUGGAUCCGCGCCGCAUUAGCUAGUUGGUAAGGUAACGGCUUACCAAGGCAACGAUGCGUAGCCGACCUGAGAGGGUGAUCGGCCACACUGGAACUGAGACACGGUCCAGACUCCUACGGGAGGCAGCAGUAGGGAACCUUCCGCAAUGGGCGAAAGCCUGACGGAGCAACGCCGCGUGAGUGAUGAAGGUCUUCGGAUCGUAAAACUCUGUUAUUAGGAAAGAACAAAUGUGUAAGUAACUAUGCACGUCUUGACGGUACCUAAUCAGAAAGCCACGGCUAACUACGUG
rnacentral:rRNA from 1 species